GACAACACAUUGAUAUGGAAGAGUAAUUCACUAAGUUUUAGCCAAGAGAGAUAUUGUUUGGUGGAAAAUAUCGUAAAGCUAGAGAAUGAAAAUCACCAUGGAGUGGCUAUAGCGAUAAUGUAGUUAUAGACGUGAGUCUUACGAUAUAAAGACUAGAUGUGAUUGCAUCGAUGAGGGCAUUCGUUAGAAUGAAUUAGAGUGGUACCGCGGAAGAAUAAAAAUAUUACCUUUCGUCUCUGAA
rnacentral:ncRNA from 1 species